rnacentral:lncRNA from 1 species
CCAGCAACAUGGUCGGUUCUUUCCUCGACUUUCACUCUUGAGCUCGCAUUCCAUACGACCUUCAAUCCCCCGUUGCAUCUAUUUCACUCACCAACUGUUGAUUUAUCAGGUAAUUUCAAAAUCCCCCAAAUUGGAAAACCCUAAUCUUUAAAUAGUUUGAUUCAUUGCUUUGCAGUUCUAAAUCAAAUAUUCUCAUUACGACAUUGAGCGAAAGAAAUGCAUGAAAAAUGAUACAUCUUCUGAUUGAGUGUAUUUUUCAUAGCUACUAUAAUGUUUGGUGUGAAAUCGCAUAUUAUUUUUCGAUGAAUAAUUCAACUUGUACAAAUUCGUAAAUAAUUUUAUAUGUAUAAUAAACUUGUACCAAGUGGAAAAUGAUGGACCAGCGAGUUGAUGAAGGGUGUUGAUUAAUUUAUAGAUUUUGCACUAUUGCAAGAUAGUUUUAUAUCCAUGGCAAGAUAUAGUACAAUGCCCGAGUUGAAGGUGAAAUUUUUACGUACAAUUUGACGAAAGGACUCACCUAUAUAUAGGUUUUGUUUUGUCCCGAACGAUUGUUUUUCGCCGCUGUCAUAUAUUAACGUAGAAAUUGAAUCAAUACGGUGAAUGUUUUUUGUCUACCGAAUAUUGUUACUUACCGAGCUUUUGGUCUCUAGAGUUAUAUAACACAUGUCUUGUAGUGCGUUUUUUCUAAUAUGCGAAGCGUAUACAAUUUCAUUUAUAUGAAUGAGAGCAAAUAGAUAAUAGUAAACGAACGUUGAAUCAAUAUCGAAGAUAGCCGAAACAGAACUAAAGAAGAAGAAAAUAACAUUUAUACAUGUUGCUACAUUUAACAUGUAUAAGAAACUAGAUUUAAUAAUGGUUUACUUUCGUAGUUUUCCAUGACAUCCGAUCCGUCUCGAAUUUUCGUUUUCCUAUCUUUUCCUUCUCAUUUGAGUUAUUAUAUGUAAGUCGAUUACUCUGUUUUAUUAAUCUCUUUGAUUUUUGUUGCCAUGAAUGCAAGUAUAAGAUUUCUAAUCUCCAUAUAUAUAUUUGGCCCCUCAGCUUCCUAUAACUUGCAUUUAAGAUUUUUCCAUUGCAAAUUAUAUUGCACCAACUAUUGCAUUGCACAAAUUAUCACCAACUAGUGCAAUGCUAUAGAUUAAUAUGCAAUAAAAUUCUUCAAUAAAAAAAUCCCACCUGCGAUAAUUUGAUAAAUGAUCAAGAUUCUUGUUUCAGGACACAGCAAUGCCCACAAAGCGACUUUUCUCCUUCUUCCUCAAUCGGCUCAAAGCUACGCCAUCCGUUUCUGUCAGCCGACGUAUCGAAAACGUG